CCGGAAGUGAGGGAAGAGGGGAGGACACCGUGCCAGACUGAAACACCAAGGGUUGCCAGUUUCAUUCUGAAAGAACUGCACAGCUAUUCACGAUAGUUAUAAUGCUUCUGGACUGCUGACCACACAAAUUUCAGCUUGUCAUGGAUGCUCAGAACUGGAGUCCUUCAAGCAACAGUCUACUACACCCACAGCAUUACAAAAUUUGAGAACAGAAACGGCAAAAUCCUAAACACGAGGAAAUCUGCAGAUGCUGGAAUUUCAAGCAACACACACAAAAAAUGCUGGUGAAUGCAGCAGGCCAGGCAGCAUCUCUAGGAAGAGGUACAGUCGAUGUUUCAGGCCGAGA